GACUAGAUGGAUGGGUUCUUUUCCCUGGGUUGUACCUUCUCUCUAUGUUUUCUGGCUUUGAUUUUCCUCUACUCUGCCUUUUAACAGUACGUUUUCUGCCUUGGAUCAAGAUAAUCAUGGAAAGAAACCUCUGACAUAUUAAAAAUUUUUAAAAAGUCAUCAAUCAAUUCCUCUGAGUCACUAUGCUACGGCCUGGAAAAUGAAACACACUGGAAUCAGUAGCACUAAAACAACUGAACCUGGAUAGAGAAGUCACUGAAGAUUUUUAUGUUCUCUGCACAUACAGUUCCUAUGUUACCUCUAGAAGAAAACUGAAAUGGCUUUUGACUUUCUUAAUAAUCCACAGAAAAACUUGUAAAGUAAGCUGAUAAUUUGAUUUCUUUCAUAUAUGA